rnacentral:lncRNA from 1 species
CUUUGUGAGAAGCUUGAUUUGGAUACAUAAAGUGUUGGAGAAUCACCAGGAAGUUGAAUAAAUCUCAUAGGAUUGGGAUGAAGAAGUUAUUCCGCUUUUAAAUCAGGUGAUUCCAGUUUCCCAGUUUGGGAAUAGGACGGCUUCUUCGUCGUUCGAAUCAAAGCGGGAUGAAUCACUUUUUAAGAAGCUUGAUUUGGAUACAUAAAGUGGUGGAGAAUCACCAGGAAGUUGAAUAAGUCUCAUAGGAGUUGGGAUGAAGAAGUUAUUCCACUUUAAAAUCAGGUGAUUCCAGUUUCCCAGUUUGGGAAUAGAUCAUCUUCUUCGUCGUUCUAAUAAAAGGAGGAUGAAUCACUUUGUAAGAAGCUUGAUUUGGAUACAAAAAGUGGUGCAGAAUCACGAGGAAGUUGAAUAAAUCUCAUAGGAGUUGGGAUGAAGAAGUUAUCUCACUUUCAAAUCAGGUGAUUCCAGUUUCCCAGUUUGGGAAUAGGACAGCUUCUUCGUCGUUCAAAUCAAAACAGGAUGAAACACUUUGUAAGAAGCUUGAUUUGGAUAAAUAAAGUGGUGGAGAAUGACCAGGAAGUUAAAAAAAAUCUCAUAGGAGCUGGGAAGAAGAAGUUAUCCCACUUUCAAAUCAGUUGAUUCCAGUUUCCCAGUUUGGGAAUAAGACAACUUCUUCGACGUUUCAAUCGAACCAGGAUGAAUCACUUUGUAAGAGGCUUGAUCUGGAUACAUAAAGUGGUGGAGAAUGACCAGGAAGUUGAAAAAAAUCUCAUAGGAGCUGGGAAAAAGAAGUUAUCCCACUUUCAAAUCAGUUGAUUCCAGUUUCCCAGUUUGGGAAUAAGACAACUUCUUCGACGUUCCAAUCGAACCAGGAUGAAUCAAAUUUGGAUACAUAAAGUGGUGGAGAAUCACCAGGAAGUUGAAUAAAUCUCAUAGGAGUUGGCGAAAAGAAGUUAUCCCACUUUCAAAUCAGGUGAUUCCAGUUUCCCAGUUUGGGAAUAGGACAGCUUCUCUGUCGUUCAAAUCAAACCAGGAUAAAUCACUUUGUGAGUAUGAGAUUUGAGAGCUCUGGCUGUGUAUGUGUAUGAGAAGCCAUUAGAGGCAAAGAAUAAGGUCUUGAACUAGUUGAAUAAGAGGUCUGAUGAAACUAGUAUGAACUUGAAUCAGAAACAAAGAGACUUAGAGAGAUUAAGAGAUUAGAGACUAAGAAAGGGGUAGAUUAAGGGAAUCUGAUCAAGAACACACUUUUAUAUUUAUGAAGGAGAUGGGGAAAACCCCCAUACUCUCUUAAGAGAGUUACAAACGCCCAUGAGGUCUUUAUAUAGGUUUUACACUCUUGCAAACUCAUAAACCUAUAUCUAAUGGAUAGAAAUAACUUAAGAGGAAUGGAUGGUGAGGAUGAGUUGGUCUUGUUGUGAUCUGAGUGAUGUGUGCUGAUUGGAUGAGCUAAGCUGGCUCACUUUAAUUCAAACAAGGCUGUGCUGUGAUUGGCUCUCCUUAGGCUCCUUUGUAUCUGUCUACAGAUCAGUCUAGGUGCAUGGUCGUGGCUGCUCUUCCUUUACAGCAACAGCCAGCCUGUCCAUGCCCCAAAGUAACCAAUCAGCUCCACACAGCAUCUUCUUGAUUCCCUUUGACUAGAUUCAAACCUUGGUGCCUCACAUCCUGAAUAGUGAUCCAAAUAGUGAAUAGUCAACCUGAAUAGUGACUAGUGAUUCACUAUUCACUUUUACACCAACUUGCCCAACCUUCUCCAAUCUUACUGUGGUAACUUUCCAAAGUUACUGUGGUAACUUUGGAGUUACUGUCUGACCCAAAUCUUCUCUAAAUGGUGUCUAAGUCCCUCCUGGACUUAACCCUAUCUUUGCACAAGCACCAACUCAACUCAUCACUUUUGCUUCUCCACUUCUUCUCUUCAAGUUAACAA